rnacentral:rRNA from 1 species
CAGUCGCCACGGGAAUACGGAGGGUGCAAGCGUUAUCCUGAUUUAUUGGGUUUAAAGGGUCCGUAGGCGGAUCUGUAAGUCAGUGGUGAAAUCUCACAGCUUAACUGUGAAACUGCCAUUGAUACUGCAGGUCUUGAGUAAAUUUGAAGUGGCUGGAAUAAGUAGUGUAGCGGUGAAAUGCAUAGAUAUUACUUAGAACACCAAUUGCGAAGGCAGGUCACUAAGAUUUAACUGACGCUGAUGGACGAAAGCGUGGGGAGCGAACAGGAUUAGAUACCCCAGUAGUCCCUGUCUCUUAUAC